rnacentral:rRNA from 1 species
CCUACGGGAGGCAGCAGUGGGGAAUCUUGCGCAAUGGGCGAAAGCCUGACGCAGCCAUGCCGCGUGGAUGAUGAAGGUCUUAGGAUUGUAAAAUCCUUUCACCGGUGAAGAUAAUGACUGUAGCCGGAGAAGAAGCCCCGGCUAACUUCGUGCCAGCAGCCGCGGUAAUACGAAGGGGGCUAGCGUUGCUCGGAAUUACUGGGCGUAAAGGGAGCGUAGGCGGACAUUUAAGUCAGGGGUGAAAUCCCAGAGCUCAACUCUGGAACUGCCUUUGAUACUGGGUGUCUUGAGUGUGAGAGAGGUAUGUGGAACUCCGAGUGUAGAGGUGAAAUUCGUAGAUAUUCGGAAGAACACCAGUGGCGAAGGCGACAUACUGGCUCAUUACUGACGCUGAGGCUCGAAAGCGUGGGGAGCAAACAGGAUUAGAUACCCUGGUAGUCCACGCCGUAAACGAUGAUGCUAGUGUCGGUAGCUGUCUCUCGUGCGCAGCUACGCAUAGUACGACUCCGCCGUCGGGAGGUACGGUCGUCGAGAGUUAAACGUUAAAGUAGUUAAGUUAGUACGGCGUUGAGACGUUGCGACGGACGACGACGAGGGAGGAGG